rnacentral:lncRNA from 1 species
GUAUACUGCAACCCUAUUCCUGAUUGGGAAAUAGAGGAAGGAGCCAUACCAAGCAAAAGAAUGCAAACAAAUCUUUUAGAAGAAUUAGCUCAAGACUUUGUAAACCCAAAUGGUGCUGAUUGGAAAGAACAUCCAGCUAGCCCUUUCGAAGUGUGGAUGAGGAAAUUCUUCAAUACCGUUUUCCACUGCUUCAGUCUUU